rnacentral:rRNA from 1 species
GACGAACGCUGGCGGCGUGCUUAACACAUGCAAGUCGAUCGAUGAACCCGGAGCUUGCUCCGGUGGAUUAGUGGCGAACGGGUGAGUAACACGUGAGUAACCUGCCCUUGACUCUGGGAUAACUGCGGGAAACUGUAGCUAAUACCGGAUACGACCCUCGGCGGCAUCGCCAGGGGGUGGAAAGAAUUUCGGUCAAGGAUGGACUCGCGGCCUAUCAGCUAGUUGGUGAGGUAACGGCUCACCAAGGCGACGACGGGUAGCCGGCCUGAGAGGGUGACCGGCCACACUGGGACUGAGACACGGCCCAGACUCCUACGGGAGGCAGCAAUGGGGAAUAUUGGACAAUGGGCGCAAGCCUGAUCCAGCCAUGCCGCGUGAGUGAUGAAGGCCUUAGGGUUGUAAAGCUCUUUCGUCCGGGACGAUAAUGACGGUACCGGAAGAAUAAGCACCGGCUAACUACGUGCCAGCCGCCGCCGUAA